GGAAAAAAGAUGAGGCAGUUUACGAUGAUGAAGCUGAAGGACAAAAUCAUCGAGGAGUGUCAUUACCUUUUGGAAGCUUUUAAACCCUUCAAAGGUUUUAAAUGUCUUGAAGAAUCUUAAAGAAGUUCCAUCAGUUCAGGACCUCUUUAGGGGUCACUUCAUUAAGAAGGGGACAGCUGUGUAUCCUUUCCUGUUUUCUGUUCUGUCUGAUGAGAGUAAAUGGGAGAAACCGUACACUUUUUAUCCGGAACACUUCCUGGACAAAGAUGAAAAGUUUAUCCAGCGUGAUGCCUUUAUGGUUUUUUUCUGCAGGUCGCAGGGUUUGUCCCGGAGCAAGGCUGGCCAGGAUGGAAGUCUUCAUCUUCUUCACCUUCCUUCUGCAGCACUUCCGAAUUGCUCUGCCAUCUGGGGUUUCAGAUGAUGAACUGCUUCUAUCACCAUCUGAUAGCCUGAUCCCUAACCCUUCAAAUGUUAAACUGUGUGCUGUCCCCUUGUGAGACACAGUGGGCUGAUGUAAUUAAUUCUAAACAAGAAAUCAUUUAUAUAAAAGAAGCUGCUAAUGAAAUAGGUAGAAGGGGUGGUGUUUCCUUGAUUCUUCUUUAAGCAAGAAAAAUCAGUUUGAGACUCCGAAAGAAACCUGCGGCACCACGAGGAGCUUUGUAAGGAUAUUUUUAAUCUCCAGUGUUGUAUUCAUUUAAUCAGGGUAAUUCAGACAUGCAUCUGACUAGUGCAUUCAGCAUACCCACAAUCUACAGAUGAUUCAGAAGAUAGAAACCUCCGUUUGUUGUAAAUACAAUACUAUGCAUUUAGGCUUAACCCAAGUGUAGACAGUCAACUGACACACCAACAUCUUCAGUUACACUGAACCAAUCCAUUCUAACUUUUGUCAGAGUCACACCUUUCCUUGACAUUUUCCACUGAGGUUCAGAAAAAGUGUUUAUGAAAAGAUAAGAUGGGAUUUUCACUACUAAUACAAACUAAACUGAUCUCUUUCACAGUUUAUUCCAUUCAUCUCAUUCAAAUUCUGUCCUUUGCAUUGAUGCAGUAUAAACAUUAAUUCACACUUCACACUGAGUUUUCCUAUUUUCUCUUCCAAUGGUGAUUGUGUAUUUCUCCUGGCUCUCCUUACAUUUUCCCUUCAUGGCACAUAGCGGCCCCUCCCUGAGCCUGGUUCUGCUGAAGAUUACUUCUUGUUAAAAUAACUUCUUUUUUUUCUUCCUACCUCUGCCAACUGCUGCCUAUAGUUCAUCGUUUGAUUGCUGAGGUUUUACUUCAUAUGUGCAUGCUUUACUAUGUGUCAGCAUAGAUUUACACUUCUGCAAAUCUAAACUGUGUUAUAUCCAAACUUUGUUACAUAAUAUAUAAAAGGAGUUGGCAACAUAUAAAUGCAGCUGUGUGAAACUGAAUUGAGUAUUGAAUUGUUAACAUUGUUCACCCAGAACAACGUGUGUUCUAUCUUGAUUUUGUGUUUACAGUUUGGUUCUGAACUUAUUUUGCAUAUUGUAAUGAUUACUAUUUCAGCAUCAGAUCAGUCAGAUCUAUACGGUCUCUUUAUAAAAUGUACUGAUUAAAUCUAGCGGAGCAUAUACUGUUAAAGAUUUUAUAAUGAAAUAUAUAUGCUUGUUAUUCCCUCUUCCACAUUAUUACAAAAAAUAUGACAUGUAUUCUCUGUAGACACAGGAAGAAGCCUCCAGAAGAACCAGGCUCUGCUGUGACUGGUUGGGCUCACGGGAAGAAGAGAGCCAGAGAUUAAUAAUAACCAAUAAUUAAAUACAGAGAGGUGUAUCAACACAUAAUGAGUGGAAAAGGUGACUGAAGAAGAAAUAUUCAGUGCAGCAGCCUACACCUAUUCCAACAUAACAAAGGGAGGAUUCAGGG